rnacentral:lncRNA from 13 species
AUUUUUGACAUAGAAAGAAGAAUGAAUCUGAUGCUGUCUUUAGAGACAUCACAAUCGAAUUGUGAUUUGCACCUAAGAGAGUCAAGGUAUCAUCAAGUUACAAUGGGUUUGUACUGGAGUGAGGAGGGCCGUGAAAUUAGUAUAGCUGGUGUCUUUAUGAGAAGAGAUACAAACAGCAACGAUGAAGCAGAGACUUGAGUGAUGCAUUCUCAAGUCAGGGAAAGCCAAGGAUUGCCGGCAAUAGCCUAAGCUGAAUACAAGCAUGGAACCAACACUCCCCUAGAACCUUUAGAGAGCUCUGAGCCCUGUUGACAACUUGAUUUUAAAUUGUUAACCUCCAGAAGCAUAAGAGAAUAAAUUACUGUUUUAUAAAAUCA